UUAAAGGACCUUUUUCCAAAUGUAUACUUAAGGAGGGGCUUGCGGCACAUUACUUCCUUGGUAGGGUAAAAGCCUACCAAGACCAUGAUGUGUAGCUGGACUGAAAGGUUGAACAGCCACAUUGGGACUGAGACACGGCCCAAACUCCUACGGGAGGCAGCAGUAGGGAAUUUUCGGCAAUGGAGGAAACUCUGACCGAACAACGCCGCGUGAACGAUGAAAUAUUUCGGUAUGUAAAGUUCUUUUAUUGAAGAAGAAAAAAUAGUGGAAAAACUAUCUUGACGAUAUUCAAUGAAUAAGCCCCGGCAAACUAUGUGCCAGCAGCCGCGGUAAUACAUAGGGGGCGAGCGUUAUCCGGAAUUAUUGGGCGUAAAGGGUGCGUAGGCGGUUUGGUAAGUCUAUAGUUUAAUUUCAGUGCUUAACACUGUUCUGCUAUAGAAACUAUUAGACUAGAGUGAGAUAGAGGCAAGUGGAAUUCCAUGUGUAGCGGUAAAAUGCGUAAAUAUAUGGAGGAACACCAGAGGCGUAGGCGGCUUGCUGGGUCUUUACUGACGCUGAGGCACGAAAGCGUGGGGAGCAAACAGGAUUAGAUACCCUGGUAGUCCACGCCGUAAACGAUGAGUACUAAGUGUCGGGGAAACUCGGUACUGAAGUUAACACAUUAAGUACUCCGCCUGAGUAGUACGUACGCAAGUAUGAAACUUAAAGGAAUUGACGGGACUCCGCACAAGCGGUGGAUCAUGUUGUUUAAUUCGAAGAUACACGAAAAACCUUACCAGGUCUUGACAUACUCUGCAAAGCUAUAGCAAUAUAGUGGAGGUUAUCAGGGAUACAGGUGGUGCAUGGUUGUCGUCAGCUCGUGUCGUGAGAUGUUAGGUUAAGUCCUAAAACGAGCGCAACCCUUGUCACUAGUUGCCAGCAUGUUAUGAUGGGCACUUUAGUGAGACUGCCAAUGAAAAAUUGGAGGAAGGUGAGGAUCACGUCAAAUCAUCAUGCCCCUUAUGAUCUGGGCUACAAACGUGAUACAAUGGCUGUUACAAAGAGUAGCUAAAACGCGAGUUUAUAGCCAAUCUCAUAAAAGCAGUCUCAGUUCGGAUUGAAGUCUGCAACUCGACUUCAUGAAGUUGGAAUCGCUAGUAAUCGCGAAUCAGCAUGUCGCGG
rnacentral:rRNA from 1 species